UACGUAGGGUGCGAGCGUUGUCCGGAAUUAUUGGGCGUAAAGAGCGUGUAGGCUGUUCGGUAAGUCUGCCGUGAAAACCUGAGGCUCAACCUCGGGCGUGCGGUGGAUACUGCCGGGCUAGAGGACGGUAGAGGCGAGUGGAAUUCCCGGUGUAGCGGUGAAAUGCGCAGAUAUCGGGAGGAACACCUAUGGCGAAGGCAGCUCGCUGGGACGUUACUGACGCUGAGACGCGAAAGCGUGGGGAGCAAACAGG
rnacentral:rRNA from 1 species